AUACUUACCUGGCAGGGGAAAUACCAUGAUCACAAAGGUGGUUUUCCCAGGGCCAGGCUUAUCCAUUGCACUCCAGAUGUGCUGACCCCUGUGGUUUCCCCAAAUGUGGGAAACUCAACUGCAUAAUUUGUAGUAGUAGGGGAUUGCAUUUGUGCUCUCCCCUA
ensembl:snRNA U1 U1 spliceosomal RNA